CAGGCCUAACACAUGCAAGUCGAACGGGGAGUAUUUACUUCGGUUUUUACUCCUAGUGGCGAACGGGUGAGUAACGCGUUGGUGACCUGCCCCGAAGAGGGGGAUAACUCCGCGAAA
rnacentral:rRNA from 1 species